rnacentral:rRNA from 1 species
AUACGUAGGGGGCGAGCGUUGUCCGGAAUUACUGGGCGUAAAGGGCGUGUAGGCGGCCUGUUAAGUCAGGGGUGAAAGACCGGGGCUCAACCCCGGGGGUGCCCUUGAAACUGGCGGGCUUGAGUGCUCUAGAGGGCAGCGGAAUUCCCGGUGUAGCGGUGAAAUGCGUAGAGAUCGGGAGGAACACCAGUGGCGAAGGCGGCUGCCUGGGGAGUCACUGGCGCUGAGGCGCGAAAGCUGGGGGAGCAAACAGGAUUAGAUACCCUGGUAGUCCCAGCCGUAAACGAUGAGUGCUAGGUGUGAGGGGUAUCGACCCCCCUCGUGCAGCAGCUAACGCAUUAAGCACUCCGCCUGGGGAGUACGGCCGCAAGGCUGAA